rnacentral:rRNA from 1 species
CGUGCCUCAGACAUGCAAGUCGAACGAUUAAGACUCUCUUCGGAGAGUGUAUAAAGUGGCGCACGGGUGAGUAACACGUAGGUAAUGUACCGAAGGGUGGGGAAUAACUUAGGGAAACUUAAGCUAAUACCGCAUAAUGCAGCGGCUCGACAUCGAGACAGUUGUUAAAGGAGCAAUCCGCCUUUUGAGCAGCCUGCGGCAGAUUAGCUAGUUGGUAAGGUAAUGGCUUACCAAGGCUACGAUCUGUAACCGACCUGAGAGGGUGGUCGGUCACACUGACACUGAAUAACGGGUCAGACUCCUACGGGAGGCAGCAGUCGGGAAUUUUGGGCAAUGGGCGAAAGCCUGACCCAGCAACGCCGCGUGAAGGAUGAAGUAUUUCGGUAUGUAAACUUCGUAAGAAUAGGAAGAAUAAAUGACGGUACUAUUUGUAAGGUCCGGCUAACUACGUG